GCCUGGCUGGCUCAGUCAGUAGAGCAUGUGACUCUUAAUCUCAGGGUUGUAAGUUCAAGCCCCACGUUGGGUG
rnacentral:tRNA from 1 species